AAAUACGUUGGCCAACUCCUUCUCGAGCUCGACGUCGGACCCCCAAAUCGGACCAACACCGCCUCGCCUCCCUCCCAACGUCGGACCACUAACGUCGGACCCCCAAAUCGGAGCUCGCUGUAAUUUCCGACCACCGCGAGACCCCUCCUCCCUUUCUCCUCUGCCACGACUACGAAGUCUGAGCUCGAUCUUAAAUCUCCCAACUCAGAUUGAAAUGGCUUCAUCAUCAACUGUGGAAGGUAACUCAUGUGUUGAAGUUGAUAUUAGAUUCAUAUUGAAACAAUGCGAGUGUGGUGAAUUAGCGGAUGUGAAGAUAACGAAGUCGAACAAGAACAAUAACCGUGGUAGAAUUUACUACUCGUGUAAAAGGCAAAAGUGCGGCUCGUUUUUGGGCUGGUGCAAGAUUUUAUCAGUUGAACAAAUACCACUCGUCAUUGCCCCACCAGAGGCGCGUGACGUGGUUGUUGUACGUGAAAAAGUGUUGUGGAAAUGGUUAACUGUUAUAGCU